UCGGUGAAGUCGUUUGAAUGGGCCAAUCAGAUUUCAAGUGAUGACACGUCAGAUACCCUGCAUUAUGUUAUUGUGCAGGCGGUCUACAGUACCGUAAGUAAAAGGAAAACUUUAUUUCAUUAUCUUAAUGGUUAGAUUUACUUAGUCUCUAUGUUAUUGUGGUAUACUGUCUACACAUGAUUAGUAUCAAUUCUCUCCUCUUUAUUUCCCUUUCUUUAUUUAUUCAUAUUCUCUCUUUCAGAUUUUUAUUAAAUUAAUAUCUUAAUCUUUCCUUCACCAUAUUCAUCUUUCCUUCAUCAUCUUCAUCAUAUCUUCAUCAACUUAUUCAUCAUCUUCAUAAGAGGAAAAAAAAAACCAGAAAAAAAUGAAAUUAUAUAAUUUUAAAAAAAAAACAUUACAAUUAAUUACAUUUCGAUAAAAACACUUCCAAUUUCAAUUUCUCAUUAUUUACAUCACAAAUCAUCAUAAAAGAUUCAAUUUCUCAAACCUUAAAAAAAAACUACAUGAAAUAAAUCUAAACUGUUACAUGAAAGUAAUUACGUAAUUCUUUAGUAUAUCUUCUACAUGAAAUUGUAAGAUUAAUUACGUAAGAUUAAUCUAAACAUUCUUUUAUUACGUUUCUUCUAUCUUCAUUGUUUACAUUACAAUUAAUUACGUUUCUUCUAUCACAGAUCUUGUACCCACUAAAAGAAUGAGAAAGGAAGAUAGAUUAUAAACAGUUUAUUAUGUAAAAUUCACAUGGCUUCAAUUCUUAUAUUGUGGUUGUCAAAUUCUGAAGCAACUUC
rnacentral:lncRNA from 1 species